UUUUUUUCCCUCAUUUUUUCCUCCCUUUCUCUUUUAGGUUUUCGUUCAUAUUUGCCUUCUUCGUUUGCAAGCUCGCAAAGACGUAUAGUUAUGGUUGCAUCAAAUCCAAAAUGCUAGGUGUACCAGUAAAGACCAUGACGUCCGACCAUACUUUCAAGUUUGUGAGAAAAUCAGGAUGAGAGAACCAAUAACUCUCAAUUUUGAAAGGAGGUUUUUUCUGUAUAUGUUUGCAGUUGUUAAAACAAUUGGUGAGUGGUCUGACAAAGUUCUUGAUAAUACUGUUUGAGUAAGAAGGGGGAAUUUACCUUCAAAAGGAGGAGAAACCAAGAUUCUAACCAAUCUGCAUAACAAGGCAACAGGUUGCAUAAUGCUCCAAGUGUAUAAACCACCAUUGAGAGGGAGAUCCACCAUAUUAUGUUCUUCCAUGUACUCAUUAAACAAUCUUUUAUUCCUUUUGGAUCCACCGUAUUUCUUUCUCUCCUUCUUUUGCACCACUUAUAUCUUCAUUUGUGCAUUUGAAUUUUUGAGACAAAGUGUUUGGCCCAAGUAAAUCAUCUAUACAUUCUAGCAUUGAAUUAUGCCAUAUUGUAAGUAAACCAUCUGACAUCCCUGGAGAUGGAAUGUCCUUCCAUUUGUAUUGAUCAUUACCCCAAAGUUGUUUCACACACCAGUCAGUCAUUUUCAUCAUAUGUGUCUUUCCUUAUGAGAUUUUUUAAUGCAUUCAUUUUGUCAAUUGCAUCUAACCCUCUCAUAUUCCACAACAACACUUUAACAUCCAUUGAGACCAUCUGAAGCCAAAUUCACAGCAUCUUCAAAAAUUUCUCCCUCUUCCUCUUUAUCUCUGUUAGAUGUCUCAACUGUGUCAUUAAUAUCUUGCACUGUAAUGAUUUCAGUAAUUGGAGGUAGUUUGCUGCUUGCUAUUCCUUCAUUCAAUUUGAGAUGCUUAGCUACAAGAUUUUACUAUUUCAAUGCGAUAGUAGUUCAAUAUGGAGUUACUAAUUCAAACUUAAACAAUAAUAAAUAGUACUCCACUCGUGCAUGUUUUGAA